GACGAACGCUGGCGGCGUGCUUAACACAUGCAAGUCGAACGGAAAGGCCCUGCUUUUGUGGGGUGCUCGAGUGGCGAACGGGUGAGUAACACGUGAGUAACCUGCCCUUGACUUUGGGAUAACUUCAGGAAACUGGGGCUAAUACCGGAUAGGAGCUCCUGCUGCAUGGUGGGGGUUGGAAAGUUUCGGCGGUUGGGGAUGGACUCGCGGCUUAUCAGCUUGUUGGUGGGGUAGUGGCUUACCAAGGCUUUGACGGGUAGCCGGCCUGAGAGGGUGACCGGCCACAUUGGGACUGAGAUACGGCCCAGACUCCUACGGGAGGCAGCAGUGGGGAAUAUUGCACAAUGGGCGGAAGCAUGAUGCAGCAACGCCGCGUGCGGGAUGACGGCCUUCGGGUUGUAAACCGCUUUCGCCUGUGACGAAGCGUGAGUGACGGUAAUGGGUAAAGAAGCACCGGCUAACUACGUGCCAGCAGCCGCGGUGAUACGUAGGGUGCGAGCGUUGUCCGGAUUUAUUGGGCGUAAAGGGCUCGUAGGUGGUUGAUCGCGUCGGAAGUGUAAUCUUGGGGCUUAACCCUGAGCGUGCUUUCGAUACGGGUUGACUUGAGGAAGGUAGGGGAGAAUGGAAUUCCUGGUGGAGCGGUGGAAUGCGCAGAUAUCAGGAGGAACACCAGUGGCGAAGGCGGUUCUCUGGGCCUUUCCUGACGCUGAGGAGCGAAAGCGUGGGGAGCGAACAGGCUUAGAUACCCUGGUAGUCCACGCUGUAAACGGUGGGUACUAGGUGUGGGGUCCAUUCCACGGGUUCCGUGCCGUAGCUAACGCUUUAAGUACCCCGCCUGGGGAGUACGGCCGCAAGGCUAAAACUCAAAGGAAUUGACGGGGCCCCGCACAAGCGGCGGAGCAUGCGGAUUAAUUCGAUGCAACGCGUAGAACCUUACCUGGGUUUGACAUGGAUCGGGAGUGCUCAGAGAUGGGUGUGCCUCUUUUGGGGUCGGUUCACAGGUGGUGCAUGGCUGUCGUCAGCUCGUGUCGUGAGAUGUUGGGUUAAGUCCCGCAACGAGCGCAACCCUUGUUCACUGUUGCCAGCACGUUAUGGUGGGGACUCAGUGGAGACCGCCGGGGUCAACUCGGAGGAAGGUGGGGAUGACGUCAAGUCAUCAUGCCCCUUAUGUCCAGGGCUUCACGCAUGCUACAAUGGCUGGUACAGAGAGUGGCGAGCCUGUGAGGGUGAGCGAAUCUCGGAAAGCCGGUCUCAGUUCGGAUUGGGGUCUGCAACUCGACCUCAUGAAGUCGGAGUCGCUAGUAAUCGCAGAUCAGCAACGCUGCGGUGAAUACGUUCCCGGGGCU
rnacentral:rRNA from 1 species